AGAAACCACACAAUGGGGAUCGAUGGAUUGGUAAAGUCAACUUUGUUGAAAUACGCUCGUUUUGGCACAUUUUCAGAAGUUUUGAUAGAAUGUGGAGCUUUUAUAUAUUGAGUUUGCAGGCAAUGAUCAUUGUUGCUUGGAAUGGGUCGGGGAAAUUAAGUUCCAUGUUUGAAGGUGAUGUCUUUAAGAAAGUGCUGAGUAUUUUCA